rnacentral:tRNA from 1 species
GCCUGUGUGGCUCAGUGGUUGAGCAUUGACCCAUGAACUAAGAGGUCACCAGUUCGAUUCUGGUCAGGGCA